AGCGUAAUAAUUUGCCCUUUAAUUGUGGGCUUGUAUGAAGGGAUAAACGUAAAUCUUACUGUCUCUUUUAUACACAUAAAAAUUAACCUUUAGGGUGCAAAGACCUAAAUAAUAUUUUAGGACAAAAAGACCCUAUAGAGCUCUGUUUAAAUUUAUAUAUAAAUUUUAUUAAUCUAAUUAUCUAUAAACCAAACUUAAACUUAGCUGGGGCGGCUAAGGAACAAAAAACUUCCUUAUAAAACACUGUAAACAAAUCGACCCUAAAUUUAGAAAUUUAGAUCAAUGAAUAAGCUACCUUAGGGAUAACAGAUUAAUCCUCUUUGAGAGUACACAUUGAAAAGAGGGCUUGACACCUCGAUGUUGGCUUAAGAUUCCCUUAAGAUCAGUAUCAGUCUUAAAGGUAGGUUUGUUCAACCUUUAAAA
rnacentral:rRNA from 1 species